rnacentral:SRP_RNA from 1 species
GCCGGGUGUGGUGGCGAGCACCUGUAGUCCCAGCUACUCGGGAGGCUGAGGCAGGAGAAUGGUGUGAACCCAGGAGGUGGAGCUUGCAGUGAGCUGAGAUUGCGCCACUGCACUCCAGCCUGGGUGACAGAGCCAGACUCUGUCUCAA